GUUCCUGGCUCAGGAUGAACGCUAGCUACAGGCUUAACACAUGCAAGUCGAGGGGCAGCAUGGUCUUAGCUUGCUAAGGCCGAUGGCGACCGGCGCACGGGUGAGUAACACGUAUCCAACCUGCCGUCUACUCUUGGACAGCCUUCUGAAAAGGAAGAUUAAAUACAAGAUGGCAUCAUGAGUUCACAUGUUCACAUGAUUAAAGGUAUUCCGGUAGACGAUGGGG
rnacentral:rRNA from 1 species